rnacentral:rRNA from 1 species
GACGAACGCUGGCGGCGUGCUUAACACAUGCAAGUCGUACGGUAAGGCCCUUUCGGGGGUACACGAGUGGCGAACGGGUGAGUAACACGUGAGUAACCUGCCCACAACUUUGGGAUAACGCUAGGAAACUGGUGCUAAUACUGGAUAUGUGCUCCUGCUGCAUGGUGGGGGUUGGAAAGCUCCGGCGGUUGUGGAUGGACUCGCGGCCUAUCAGCUUGUUGGUGGGGUAGUGGCCUACCAAGGCGGCGACGGGUAGCCGGCCUGAGAGGGUGACCGGCCACAUUGGGCCUGAGGUACCGCCCAGACUCCUACGGGGGCCAGCAGGGGGGAAUAUUCCCCAAGGGGGCCAAGCCUGAUGCAGCAACGCCGCGGGCGGGAUGACGGCCUUCGGGUUGUAACCCGCUUUCAGCAGGGACGAAGCUUUUUGGGACGGUACCUGCAGAAGAAGCACCGGCUAACUACGU